GCCUUCGUGGUGUAGUGGUCAACACGCUCGGGGAGUAUUCGAGAAGUCCGUGGUUCGAUUCCCGGCGAGGGUA
rnacentral:tRNA from 1 species